AGUUCGGAUUGUAGUCUGCAACCCGACUACAUGAAGCUGGAAUCGCUAGUAAUCGCGAAUCAGAAUGUCGCGGUGAAUACGUUCCCGGGUCUUGUACACACCGCCCGUCACACCAUGGGAGUCGGAAAUGCCCGAAGUCAGUGACCCAACCGUAAGGAGGGAGCUGCCGAAGGUGGAGCCGGUAACUGGGGUGAAGUCGUAACAAGGUAAC
rnacentral:rRNA from 1 species